UACAGAGGGGCAAGCGUUGUUCGGAAUUACUGGGCGUAAAGGGCGCGUAGGCGGCCUUCUAAGUCGAACGUGAAAUCCCUGGGCUCAACCCAGGAACUGCGUCCGAUACUGGAAGGCUUGAAUCCGGGAGAGGGAUGCGGAAUUCCAGGUGGUAGCGGUGAAAUGCGUAGAUAUCUGGAGGAACACCAGCGGCGAAGGCGGCAUCCUGGACCGGCAUUGACGCUGAUGAGCGAAAGCU
rnacentral:rRNA from 1 species